rnacentral:rRNA from 1 species
UACGUAGGGUGCGAGCGUUGUCCGGAAUUAUUGGGCGUAAAGGGCUCGUAGGCGGUUUGUCGCGUCGGGAGUGAAAACUCAGGGCUUAACCCUGAGCCUGCUUCCGAUACGGGCAGACUAGAGGUAUGCAGGGGAGAACGGAAUUCCUGGUGUAGCGGUGAAAUGCGCAGAUAUCAGGAGGAACACCGGUGGCGAAGGCGGUUCUCUGGGCAGUAACUGACGCUGAGGAGCGAAAGUGUGGGGAGCAAACAGG